GCACAAGCGGAGGAACAUGUGGUUUAAUUCGAUGAUACGCGAGGAACCUUACCCGGGUUUAAAUGUGAAAAGUCAGAUAUGGAAACAUAUUUUCUCUUCGGAGCUUUUUUCAAGGUGCUGCAUGGUUGUCGUCAGCUCGUGCCGUGAGGUGUCGGGUUAAGUCCCAUAACGAGCGCAACCCUUACCGUUAGUUGCCAUCAUUAAGUUGGGCACUCUAUCGGGACUGCCACCGUAAGGUGAGAGGAAGGCGGGGAUGACGUCAAAUCAGCACGGCCCUUACACCCGGGGCUACACACGUGUUACAAUGGCCGGUACAGAGGGUCGCUACCUGGUGACAGGAUGCCAAUCUCAAAAUCCGGUCUUAGUUCGGAUUGGAGUCUGUAACCCGACUCCAUGAAAUUGGAUUCGCUAGUAAUCGCGCAUCAGCCAUGGCGCGGUGAAUACGUUCCCGG
rnacentral:rRNA from 1 species